rnacentral:rRNA from 1 species
GAUGAACGCUGGCGGCGUGCCUAAUACAUGCAAGUCGAGCGAACAGACGAGGAGCUUGCUCCUCUGACGUUAGCGGCGGACGGGUGAGUAACACGUGGAUAACCUACCUAUAAGACUGGGAUAACUUCGGGAAACCGGAGCUAAUACCGGAUAAUAUAUUGAACCGCAUGGUUCAAUAGUGAAAGACGGUUUUGCUGUCACUUAUAGAUGGAUCCGCGCCGCAUUAGCUAGUUGGUAAGGUAACGGCUUACCAAGGCGACGAUGCGUAGCCGACCUGAGAGGGUGAUCGGCCACACUGGAACUGAGACACGGUCCAGACUCCUACGGGAGGCAGCAGUAGGGAAUCUUCCGCAAAGGGCGAAAGCCUGACGGAGCAACGCCGCGUGAGUGAUGAAGGUCUUCGGAUCGUAAAACUCUGUUAUUAGGGAAGAACAAAUGUGUAAGUAACUAUGCACGUCUUGACGGUACCAAAUCAGAAAGCCACGGCUAACUACGUG